AUGUAUGUACUUAGAUUUGUAUUGAAAGUAUCCGUGAUGAUAAAUAAUCUUUCGCCCCUAACUGAAAGUUUUGGAAACUUCUUAUGUUGAAUGCGAAUUGGUCUUACUGAAGAAAACAUAAUUUCAAUGCAUAAAACGUGCCCGGAAAAUUAUAAGAAUAUUAAAAGAUUUUCUUUUUAUUUAUUACAGGGGUCAAACAUUGCUUAGUAAUUUUUGGAUUGAAGGAUAAUUAACAGAAAGAUACUGAAAUCAGGAAAUAUAUGGUGCAUUUGAACAGACAAAGACGACCCGAGAAAGGUCAAACAUUGCUUAGUAAUUUUUGGAUUGCAGGAAGAUUAACAGAAAGAUGCUGAAAGCAGGAAAUAUAUGGUGCAUUUGAACAGACAAAGACGAUCCGGAGAAAGGUCAAACAUUGCUUAGUAAUUUUUGGAUUGCAGAAAGAUUAACAGAAAGAUGUUGAAAGCUGGAAAUAUAUGGUGAAUUCGAACAGACAAAGCCGACCCGGAGAAAGGUCAAAUACUGCUUAGUAUUUUCUGGAUUGCAGGAAGAUUAACGGAAAGAUGUUGAAAGCUGGAAAUGUAUGGUGAAUUCGAACAGACAAAGCCGACCCGAAGAAAGGCAUUUGGACAAUUUGAAUCCCUGCUAUUUUACUCUGGUUAGACUCCACGACUGCUCUGAAUGAUUUGUCGGAAUGACUUGAUGACCUUUAAAACUGAACAAUAAAAAAGGUCAUUAUCUCAUUAAUUUAAAAAAAUGGCAGGGAGUGGAAAUUUCGGAUCAUUUUUGGUAAUGCAGAAACCAAACUAAUUAUCUACAGCUUAAAGAAAAGAGAAUGAUUUGCAUCGGAAAAUCUAUGUUCAAGGAGAACAUGGAGUUACGCACUUAAAAGGUAAUUUGAAAUUUCUCUUUUCAUUUUCAUUCAUUCUUCAGGAGUUGCACACAGAAAGAAAAGGCAGAAUAAAUUCAGUUUAUAUUUUUGUUGAAUUUUCUUUCCCUGUGUGAUAUUUGAACAUGAUGAAAAAGGGACUCUGACUAUGUGGCAUGAUCACAUAAAUCCGCAACAACAACAACCCUAAAAAAUAGGUCCUACUGACAUUAAAAGCUCAAAAAUUUUCUUCGAUCAUUUAAUUCCGAAUUACAAUUAAUUUUGUUCUAUUUUCUUUCUCGU